UACGAGGGGGGCAAGCGUUGUUCGGAAUUAUUGGGCGUAAAGGGUGCGUAGGCGGUUUGGUAAGUCUUAUGUGAAAUCUACAGGCUCAACUUGUAGUCUGCAUGAGAAACUGCCGGGCUUGAGUAUGGGAGAGGGAUGUGGAACUCCGGGAGUAGCGGUGAAAUGCGUAGAGACCCGGAGGAACACCAGUGGCGAAGGCGGCAUCCUGGUCUGUGACUGACGCUGAGGCGCGAAAGCUAGGGGAGCAAACGGG
rnacentral:rRNA from 1 species